rnacentral:rRNA from 1 species
AUUGAACGCUGGCGGCAUGCCUUACACAUGCAAGUCGAACGCCCCGCAAGGGGAGUGGCAGACGGGUGAGUAACGCGUGGGAAUCUACCUAGUUCUACGGAACAACACAGGGAAACUUGUGCUAAUACCGUAUACGCCCUACGGGGGAAAGAUUUAUCGGAAUUAGAUGAGCCCGCGUAAGAUUAGCUAGUUGGUGGGGUAAUGGCCUACCAAGGCGACGAUCUUUAGCUGGUCUGAGAGGAUGAUCAGCCACACUGGGACUGAGACACGGCCCAGACUCCUACGGGAGGCAGCAGUGGGGAAUAUUGGACAAUGGGCGAAAGCCUGAUCCAGCCAUGCCGCGUGAGUGAUGAAGGCCUUAGGGUUGUAAAGCUCUUUCAGUAGGGAAGAUAAUGACGGUACCUACAGAAGAAGCCCCGGCUAACUUCGUGCCAGCCGCCGCAGUAACAC